CAAGCCCAGAAACGGGGCUCAAGGUGAGGGGUGCUAUCUGUGAUUGAGGGACAUGGUAAAUGGAAUUGUCUCACACAGAAAUCGCACCCGUCACCUUGGCCUGCGUAGCA
rnacentral:pre_miRNA from 1 species